AUACACAUUUAAAAAUAUGCAUUAUAACAAACAUACUAAAGCAAAAUGAUGAAAGAUGAGUGCAAAAACACUGACCAGUCUCCAUCUUUUGAAUGAGGCAAGUGCAAGCAACUGCUUGCUUCUCAUGGAGAGUCCGGAAUAUCAGUACUAUGGGAUUCAGACCUGAUCAUCGCCAUGAUGGUGGCAAAAUCAACUCUUCCUUAGACAGCAAUCAUUCCCUGAGUACAUGAGUUAACAUGACCAACAUUAGGACGGCCAUACUUCAAAGGUCGUGAUGUACAGGUUGUGUCAAAUCUCUCUUGACUGGUUAAAACCAUUGUUCCUAGUUGGUUUAUGUGACAAUAUACCAGUCCACAUCCAGGUGCAUCAGGUACAGGUGUCAUCCUUAGCCUGGCUGUUGGUGGUUGAUGGCUGGCAGCAAGCUAAAGGUGCAGGCCAAGUUAAACUAUUGUUUUAUUGAGCAUAGCAGCUGAAUCACCAGCUGGGUCAUUUGCAUUGUUGUCCGGCCAGCAUUCAGUAACCUACAGAUGACAGUUUCAGGAUGGGGAAAAAAAGGUUAAAAGUUUGGUUUGUUUAACGACACUUUUCAGGAUGGAUGCAGGAUGUUCAUGACAUUAUAAAGUCCAUCAAGUCUGAUUGGCAGCAGCGUCUGACAGACACUAGUGACAGUGAACAGGACUGGGUUAGACGCCCCACUGUGCAGCAUUAAUGAUGGACCUUCUUGGUGGCAAGUCCUUGAACCGUUUGAUCAAGCACAGACUCUCAUUAUUCAGCGGCUACCAGUCAUGUAUCAUCCGAUAAAAUGACUUCUUAUAAUUGGCACACAGAUUCGGGUACAAUAACACGCUUCAGCACACAAGUGACACUUUUCCUGCAUUUGGGGUCACAGUUAUGGUGAGAGCAGCUGAAGACUCACUUGGUGAACAAGUAUACAAUAAUACUCAAUAUUAUUAUAAAAGCUUACCUCAUUGGGCACAGUAAUAGCAAACCUGAUCAGGCUUGACUGCAUCAUGCAACUUAACGAACAAGCGUGGUACAAAUGACACUGGUGUAGGAAGUGUGUGUGUGGGGGGGGGGGGGGGGGGGGGG